rnacentral:rRNA from 1 species
GGCGGCAGGCCUAACACAUGCAAGUCGAGCGGUAACAUUUCUAGCUUGCUAGAAGAUGACGAGCGGCGGACGGGUGAGUAACGCGUAGAAAUCUACCUAGUAGUGGGGGAUAGCCCAGAGAAAUUUGGAUUAAUACCGCAUACGCCCUACGGGGGAAAGCGGGGGAUCUUCGGACCUCGUGCUAUUAGAUGAGUCUGCGUCGGAUUAGCUUGUUGGUGAGGUAAUGGCUCACCAAGGCGACGAUCCGUAGCUGGUCUGAGAGGAUGACCAGCCACACUGGAACUGAGACACGGUCCAGACUCCUACGGGAGGCAGCAGUGGGGAAUAUUGCACAAUGGGCGCAAGCCUGAUGCAGCCAUGCCGCGUGUGUGAAGAAGGCCUUAGAGUUGUAAAGCACUUUCAGCAGUGAGGAAAGGGGUGUCGUUAAUAGCGCCAUCCUGUGACGUUAACUGCAGAAGAAGGACCGGCUAACUCCGUG